rnacentral:rRNA from 1 species
CCCUUAGAUGCCCUGGGCUGCACGCGCGCUACACUGACACAUUCAACGAGUAUUUCCUUUUCCGAGGGGAUUGGGUAAUCUUCUGAAAGUGUGUCGUGAUGGGGAUAGAUUAUUGCAAUUAUUAAUCUUCAACGAGGAAUUCCUAGUAAGUGCAAGUCAUCAGCUUGCGCUGAUUACGUCCCUGCCCUUUGUACACACCGCCCGUCGCACCUACCGAUUGGAUGGUCCGGUGAAGCCUCGGGAUUGUGGUUCUUGCCGCUUUAUUGUGGCGUGACCGCGAGAACUUGUCUAAACCUUAUCAUCUAGAGGAAGGUGAAGUCGUAACA